rnacentral:piRNA from 1 species
UAAGCCAAUAGGAGUCAGUUCCCGUUGGA